rnacentral:rRNA from 1 species
CUCAGGAUGAACGCUGGCGGCGUGCCUAACACAUGCAAGUCGAACGGAGUUUAAAUAGAGCKUGCUUUAUUUAAACUUAGUGGCGGACGGGUGAGUAACACGUGGGUAACCUGCCCUAAACACAGGGNAUAACAAUGAGAAAUCAUUGCUAAUACCCGAUAAGCUUAUAAUAACACAAGUUAUAGUAAGAAAAGAUUUAUCGGUUUAGGAUGGGCCCGCGUCUGAUUAGCUAGUUGGUGNGGUAAUGGCUUACCAAGGCGACGAUCAGUAGCCGACCUGAGAGGGUGAUCGGCCACAUUGGGACUGAGACACGGCCCAAACUCCUACGGGAGGCAGCAGUGGGGAAUAUUGCACAAUGGGGGAAACCCUGAUGCAGCAACGCCGCGUGAAGGAAGAAGGUUUUCGGAUCGUAAACUUCUAUCGAUGGGGAAGAAUAAAUGACGGUACCCAAGUAAGAAGCCCCGGCUAACUACGUGCCAGCAGCCGCGGUAAUACGUAGG